GGUCCCGGUAUAUUCGAUAGAAAAUCUGCCCCUACACUUGAAAGUAGAAGAAUAGUUUAUGCCAGGGAGAAGAAAUGGCAGUCUCUACCGAGCGGAGAUGACGGAACCGAAAAUGAUUAUAUGAACUGCCAAUCAAGAAUAAGUGGCCGGGCUAACACUCUAGUAAGUAUUAUUUUCAGACUU
rnacentral:lncRNA from 1 species